CAUCAUCGUCUUUGGCAGGUUGAAUUUCUUCAGCUGCCUCAGGGAGAAAAAAAAAGAAGAAGAAGAAGAAGUGACAACAACCACAGUUCACCCGACAAACCGUCAACGCCGGUUCACUUUCCUCAUCAACGAAAAAGGGCCAAAUCCCCAAAAAGCCGCUGCAAUUCCCCCACUCCAUCACCCAGGACAAAGACAUCAGCCUCCCAACCUCGUCCCAACUAUUGCCGUCUUACCACACGUAGCCAGACGCUUCGUCUCCACGCUCUGGUGAGAUCCCCAGAAAUCCAGCCUCCACCAACCUCCAACUGGAGAGUUGCAACGGUGCAAAAAGGACUAAAGGAAAAUUAAAUCCCUUUCCUCCACUUUUUGAUCUACUUAUGUUAAACCGCUGUGGAUAACAUGUUGCCACCAAAAAAAAUCAAAAGAACACAUAAAGAAAAAUCAAUAGUAAAAAUAUAUAUUUUCUUUCUUUACUUCCUCCAGAUUGUUUUGACAGUGGCGGUUUUAUCCAUCUUGGGUGACGGGUGAGAGGGGAUUGUGAAUGUUCUUUACUGGCUUUUUUUACCCACAAUCCUUUGCACAGCAGAUGUACGAGCCAGAGGGUUCAAGGUGCAAUGUGAUGAGGAAGUAGAAUCCUUCAUGUAACAACAUGUACUUUGUGAGGAAGCUGCAGUUUGUCAUAAAGGUAAAUGAUUCAACACGCAGCUUCACACUGAUACGUGGGUGAGUUGUUCCGCCCCGACAGGUUCAACCUGAAGUGGAGAGAAGAAUAACUGCUCAAAAAAAA